rnacentral:lncRNA from 1 species
AACCUUGGUGCAGCAAAAUUUCUAGGGCUUGGGAUCAUGUACAAUAAGUCUCAAACAAGUCCUAAAUUCUUCAUUCCGGUCACAACAAUUCAUCGCUUAUCCAAGAAACAACUAGAGACCACCUUGUCCUUAGUGCAAAGAUCCAAACACACCAUGGAAGAGGUGAAGUUUGAAAUUACUAGGAGGAUCAAAUGGUUGUUUGAAGUUAGAAGGUUUUGGUACGUCCUCAUCCAGUUUCUAAAGCUUAUGAGUAAGGAGUUGCUAUCAUUGUCAAUUAUUUACAAUUGUUUCAGCUUUGCAUGUUUUGACUUCCAGAAUAAUUAAUUUAUUCAAAACUCCACAAUCGGUCAUACGUCGGAAGUAGGUAUGAAUCAAGAUUGUCAUGAAUUGGGUUUGUAGAUGGCUAAAGGUGUUUAGACAUGGCAAUGGUUACUACAACGUUCAUGAGUACUCAUAAGUUAUGAGUAUUGGAAUAAACCCACACUCACUUGUAUCACUUCAUGGCAUUUAUCUCGAGUGAUCGUGAGACGGUAAUAUCAUAUAAAUCUUCAAACCUAGAGAUAUGAGUUGUUACCUAUGAGUUGGUUGUGCAUUGAUUGCAUGUAAACGCAUCAGUAACUUGAUGUUAUAAAACGUGCCUUUGUGUACAAUUCAACAAGUAGUAGAACAAGCAUAUGAGUCGAAGUUUAUCUGUUCCUUCUAGAAAUAGAAGCGAUAUCUGGGCCCCUCGAUGAUUUUGUUGUGACCUAUGUACCGGCCGGUCAG